rnacentral:rRNA from 1 species
UGGGGAAUCGUUCCGCAAUGGACGAAAGUCUGACGGAGCAACGCCGCGUGUAUGACGAAGGCCUUCGGGUUGUAAAGUACUGUCUUUGGGGACGAACGGUAUCUAUGUAAAUAAUGCAGAUACAUGACGGUACCCAAGGAGGAAGCCCCGGCUAACUACGUGCAGCAGCCGCGGUAAUACGUAGGGGGCGAGCGUUGUCCGGAAUCAUUGGGCGUAAAGGGCGCGUAGGCGGUCAUUAAGUCUGGUGUAAAGGCAGGGGCUCAACCCCUGGAAGGCACCGGAACUGGUUAUCUUGAGGACAGGAGAGGAAAGCGGAAUUCCACGUGUAGCGGUGAAAUGCGUAGAUAUGUGGAGGAACACCAGUGGCGAAGGCGGCUUUCUGGACUGUAACUGACGCUGAGGCGCGAAAGCGUGGGGAGCAAACAGGAUUAGAUACCCUGGUAGUCCACGCCGUAAACG